UUAGUAACGCGUGGGUAACGUACCCUUACUCUAAGGAAUAGCCUUGGGAAACUGAGAGUAAUACCUUAUACGCCCUUUGGGGGAAAGAUUUAUCGGGGAAGGAUCGGNCCGCGUCUGAUUAGAUAGUUGGUGGGGUAAUGGCCUACCAAGUCUACGAUCAGUAGCUGGUUUGAGAGGAUGAUCAGCAACACUGGGACUGAGACAC
rnacentral:rRNA from 1 species